AGGGAUCAUUACCGAGUUUACAACUCCCAAACCCCUGUGAACAUACCACUUGUUGCCUCGGCGGAUCAGCCCGCUCCCGGUAAAACGGGACGGCCCGCCAGAGGACCCCUAAACUCUGUUUCUAUAUGUAACUUCUGAGUAAAACCAUAAAUAAAUCAAAACUUUCAACAACGGAUCUCUUGGUUCUGGCAUCGAUGAAGAACGCAGCAAAAUGCGAUAAGUAAUGUGAAUUGCAGAAUUCAGUGAAUCAUCGAAUCUUUGAACGCACAUUGCGCCCGCCAGUAUUCUGGCGGGCAUGCCUGUUCGAGCGUCAUUUCAACCCUCAAGCACAGCUUGGUGUUGGGACUCGCGUUAAUUCGCGUUCCCCAAAUUGAUUGGCGGUCACGUCGAGCUUCCAUAGCGUAGUAGUAAAACCCUCGUUACUGGUAAUCGUCGCGGCCACGCCGUUAAACCCCAACUUCUGAAUGUUGACCUCGGAUCAGGUAGGAAUACCCGCUGAACUUAAGCAUA
rnacentral:misc_RNA from 1 species